AUAAAUAGGCAAAAGUGCCAGAGAUGACAAAGUCUAAAUGAGUAAGUAGAUUAAUCAUGCACAGAAAAGUCCAUUACGUAACAUACGGAAUUUGUGUAGUACUGGUAAGUGGCAGUUUGUCAGUGUCAUUCUCUGAAUUUCAUCUCAAAUAUCCAUACAGCGCCACAAUCCCAGCGAUGGCCAAUAUGCCCAGGACACCUAAUCCGAGCAGCAGCGAAAUCUUUUUACACGCUCUACUAGACGAUUGGAGGGCAUGUUGCUCGAGCCUCGUUGAAUUUUCCCAACCGACCGGGUCUUCAUACGCCCCAUCCGUAUAGAUGCGCGACCUUCCCCUCCACCAUCGGGUCGCAUGACUAUGGUCUCCGCGGACACCACCCGGGCACCGGUGGAUUUCACCCACUGGUCCAGACGGGCGCGCGUGGACUCUUGGCUUUCGAACUGACCGGAACCUAUCAAAAUUCCCGGUGCGCUCGUCAUGUUCGGAGCGAAGAGUUUGGCAUGUAGUCGAAUAGUGGGUCUUGCCACUUGAUGAUACGGGUCUUCGAUGAUAUACGAUACACGGAGAUACCUAGAGUAGAGUAACUUCAUUAAUAAACCCAGCACAAUACGCAAGUGAUUCAAGUUCUUGGAAGGAAUUUUGGUUAUUUUUAAAUUAUGGUAAUUACAGCUGCAUUAAAAACCAUUAUACAGAGUAGAAUAUGCUUGCAGAUUGCCAUCAUACUUGAAGUUUUGAUUCAUUCAGGCACCUUCUCAAUUAUACCUAAUAACCACGCAUCUACACGUAUUAAAUUUUUAUUUACCUCAUAUAAUUCAGCUUUGUUUCGUCUUCAUCAUACGACAUGUUCUUUGUAUCUGCGCCAGCAUUGUAACUCCACCGGAAAGUGACUGUUUGCACGUUGAUCACUCGAUAAUUUGGCGGCGCUGAAAGUAACCACUGUCGUGCACGUUCUAUGACCUGUGGGAACGCUUCCACGACGGGAUAGUCUGCAUACCGCAAACUGUUAUCUAAAACGGCCGGCAAGAAAUCUUGCACCUCCACUUUGCAGCGUUGCGGUCGACCUUGUAAAUAAAAUAUCCGAAUAAGAUUGACGAAGUUGCAGCUUGAAUCGCCACGUUCUGUCCAGCUAGUCCGAUCGGGAUGCAAACCUUACCGAAAGUAAAACAACAUCAACAUACUGCAACAACACCUUCAACAAGUAACAAUACUACAACAACCUAACAAGUAACAGGUACUAGUAAUUAUUACUAUGUUACAAUUUUUUUCAAAGACGACGUACUCGUACCAAGUUUUGCGAUACAUACAGUACGUUUACUAACCGCUGUACUCGCAUUGUACCUGUCGACCCCCAUUUUAUUGGUUGAGUUUCGACUGUGAUGAGCUGCCCAGGAAUUCGGUCCCUUUCGAAUUGUUGAUUAAUUCUGCCCAAAAGGGAAUCAAGUCGUUCCACAUUAUAAUGAUUGGCACGUUUCGCCAGCACGGAAAAUGAUUCGAAUUUCGGUCGACUGGAAGAACCGCUACUGGCAGACAUCUCCGGUAAAAAGUCUACCGAACCGAGACCGGCAGAAUCCGCCAUUUUCAGUACCGUCGCCUUUUCCAUUUUGAAGCGAAAUAUCUCCCCCCUUCAAAGACUAUCGGCUCGCACCGCAUGAGCUGUUACCGGAGAAACCGCAUGAGCUGUUACCGCGCGGGGAAAUAUCACCAAAAGCAGACGUGGUCUCAAAUUUCCGUAACAAAAAUUUUGCCAGUUGUCAAACAAAUUUUUCAAACGGAUCUGUAGGUGCUCGAGUGGUGUUAACAGUGAUAAAAAUAGGCGAGCUAUAGUGGUUAGGUUGCAGGCAACUUAUAUUAUUAUAUAUUAUUAUUAACGCAACUAUGCGUAUUAAGGCUUACUAAAUUAAUUUUCAAUAACAAAUUUUUGGACUUCCAUCAGAAGUUCCAGGAAGCGA